GGUUGUGAGGGGGAUCUGGCUGCAACAUCUGUCUCCCUCCUGAUCUCCAUGGCGGAUUCAGCUGAUCUGGUGGCCUAUGGUGUGUCUCUUUCCUCCCUCAGUGUUCCACAUGCAUAUCUCCCAAAGCUGUGUGCUUCAUUAGAAGUAAAAGAGAGCAACCUUCUUCUAAUAGAGGAAGACCAGUCUUUUGUCAAGGGUAUAAAAACAGCUCUGCUCUCCUGCUAGAACCUCCAAACAAGCUCUUCAAAAUGCAGCCCUGCCAAAUUUUAUUUUCUUAUGUGUAAUUUAAGUGACUAAACCUGGAUCUAGCUUAUAUAAGAUCAGAUCUAUAAAGUUUUAUAGGCCUAAUAAUU
rnacentral:snRNA from 1 species